AGGCAAUGCGUCACCCUGCUUCGGCUCGCGCACGGUGCGUGCACCCACUGACCUGCGACCACUGUCUGGCACUCCCUAGUGAGAUGAACCCUGUACCUCAGAUGGAAAUGCAGAAAUCACCCGUCUUCUGCGUCGCUCAUGCUGGGAGCUGUAGACUGGAGCUGUUCCUAUUCGGCCAUCUUGGCUCUUCCCCCGUUUUACAAUUUAAAGCACCAGGUAAAGACCUUCACAAUCGGGAACCCGUAGAUUGGAUCUUCUGAAAACAUCAGAGAAAGACUAUCUUUGCCAUCCACACUACAGUAAAACUUUGGAGCCUUGAACCUUGGAUUUAUAAUCUCACAACUGAGAAGGGUCCCUCCAUACUCCUGGAACUGUACACCCAUUGGAACUCUUAAGGUAAAACUAACCAGGAAAGUUUCUCCCCAGAAAAAGAUGGCAUCCUUGAUGUGAACAGCUUUUCCCAAGAUCACAGGUCAAAACUUCUACUAUCAUGAGACUCUUACCUUUGAAUAUUUUUACCUUGUUUAUGCCUCUAUGAGCAACAGAAAUGAAAAGUGGGUCUAUAAUGUGCACUUAUAGGGUAUAAUUUUAUUUGUGAAGGAUUUUGCGGGAAGCCAGCCUUAUACAUAAAUAAACUUAUACUUUAAUAGAUAAAAGAUGAAGGCCCAAGGUGGGUGAGAAACUUUAGUGGUACAUAUGUUGACUCAUAAUCAGUCAAAACUCCUCUUAACCCACAUCAUGGAUUAAAGAGAACAUUGCCAGGAGGCCUUCACUCUUCUAGAAGGACAUAAUUUGUUAGGUCCUUUUUCCAUGGUUUAGAAUACAAGAGGCAAUAAUUAGAAAUGUCUCCCUCUUAAUAGGCAUGGGUUCAAAUAAGGCAAACGUGGAGCUGUAGCCAAUCUCGCUGUUUGUGUACCUCACUUCUGAUUCCUGUGUGUCACUUUAACAUUUUUGUCUAUACAUUUUUUCUGACCAGGAGACACCCCUGGAGUCUGUGAAUCUGCUGUGAUUCUGGGGGCUGCCCGAAUCAUGAAUCAUUCAUUGCUCAAUUAAACUCCUUUAAGUUU
rnacentral:lncRNA from 1 species